GACGAACGCUGGCGGCGUGCUUAACACAUGCAAGUCGAACGGAAAGGCCCUGCUUUUGUGGGGUGCUCGAGUGGCGAACGGGUGGGUAACACGUGAGUAACCUGCCCUUGACUUUGGGAUAACUUCAGGAAACUGGGGCUAAUACCGGAUAGGAGCUCCUGCUGCAUGGUGGGGGUUGGAAAGUUUCGGCGGUUGGGGAUGGACUCGCGGCUUAUCAGCUUGUUGGUGGGGUAGUGGCUUACCAAGGCUUUGACGGGUAGCCGGCCUGAGAGGGUGACCGGCCACAUUGGGACUGAGAUACGGCCCAGGCUCCUACGGGAGGCAGCAGUGGGGAAUAUUGCACAAUGGGCGGAAGCCUGAUGCAGCAACGCCGCGUGCGGGAUGACGGCCUUCGGGUUGUAAACCGCUUUCGCCUGUGACGAAGCGUGAGUGACGGUAAUGGGUAAAGAAGCACCGGCUAACUACGUG
rnacentral:rRNA from 1 species